AUGAUGAUGAAGAUGAUGACGAUGCUCAGGAUACUCAAUUUGCUGCAAAAAUUAGAAAGCAACAAAAAUAUUUCAAAGAGAAAUUUGGUGCAAUUGAUGAUGAAAUUCAUGAUGAUGAGGAAGUAAAUGAUGUAGACAAGAAGGAAGUAUGGGGUGUGAAAAAACCACAGUACUAUGGCGGUCACGACUAUGAGGGAGACUCAAGUGAUGAUGAGGCACUUAAAGAAGAGGAGGAAGAGAUUUUGAGAAUGCAGAGGGAAAAGUCAAAGAAUUUAUCCAUGGAAGACUUUGGGCUUGAAAGUUUUGGUGAUGAUGAGAGCAAUAGGGAAUUAACCAUGGAGGAACUUUCAGUUAAAGGAAAAAGCAAAGCAAAAGAUUCAUUGCUCAAAGAAGUUGUGGAUAAUGUGGAGACUUUUGAGGUUCGAAAGGAUUUGAAUGCUUUGUCUAGAGAGGAACAAAUGGAAGUUGUGUAUAGUUCUGCGCCAGAAUUAGUAGGUUUGCUUUCUGAGCUAAACAGUGCACUUGAAGAACUUGAAAGUAGAGUUAAUCCUCUAUUAAGCAUGGUUAAAAUGGGUGGAAUUAUACUGGAAGGUGGAGUACGCUAUUUGGAGGUGAAGCAGCUUCUGUUACUGUCCUACUGCCAAGCCAUAACAUUCUAUCUUCUUCUCAAGUCUGAAGGACAUCCAGUCCGUGAUCAUCCUGUUAUAGCUCGUCUUGUAGAGAUCAAGGGCUUAUUAGAUAAGGUGAAACAGCUUGAUGGGAAUCUUCCAUCAGAAAUUGAGGAGUUUCUAAAGAAAAAUUCUGAGGCUGAAACAGAGAAAAAUAAAAUCACUGGAAGUGUUGCACCUGUUAUUGCAUCUGAAUCUGUCAGAAAAGAUUAUAGCUCUUCUCUUGCCUCAGCUGAACCUGAUGCAAAAGAACCAGCGGAGGUGUUAUAAAAUGCAAUUCUUGUUUAAUCAUUUUUUGUUUGUUUAUCAUUUAAUUUGAUUUUUCUUUUUCAUACUACAGCGUUGUAGCACUCAUGAGUUGGUAAAAAAGGAGGCUUCACAGGAUCAUGUGAACAAAGAGAAAAAACAUAAAUGCAAGAUUGAUCAAGUUGGUUUCCAAAGCAUGGAAAUGUUAAAAGCAAGAGCUGCACUUGAAGAAAAAUUAAAACAGGAUGGAGUUUUUAGUUCCUUUGCUCCAAAGCUUAAGAAAGCAAAGAAACGUGCAAAAUCAGUGGAUGGACAAUUUCAAACAUAUGAUGAUUUCGAUGAUGAUACUUUAGAUGCUGAGAAAGGAAAUCAUGGAUUGAGAAUGUUGAGUUCAAAUAAACUCUCACAGCUUGUUUCUGCUAAACCAAAUAAAUUGAAGGUCAUUUCUGGUGAUGAUGAUGUACCUAAGAGAGAUGACAUUGGAGAAAGAAGAAGGAAACAUGAGCUCAAAGUGUUGGCCGGUGCUGGAAUCAAGUCUGAGGAUGAGGCUGUAAAUGAACUUGGUGCACUUGAGACUGAUGAAGCCUCUGACAUGGAGGAGGAUGGUGAUGCAGGAGUUUCAGAAGAUGAAUUCUACAAAGAAACAAAGGAAAAGAGGGAUGCAAAAAUAGCCGCUAAAGCUAAAAUCUAUACAAGGAACCCAACAGUCCCAUCUUUGCCUGAAAUCGUUGAUGGAAAACGGCAAAUCACUUACCAGAUUGAGAAGAACAAAGGUCUGACCCGUCCACGGAAAAAAGACUUGAAAAAUCCAAGGAAGAAAUACAGGACAAAGCAUGAUAAACAAGUGAAACGACGUAAAGGCCAAGUGCAGCAGAUCAAGAAACCUAUUGGUCCUUACGGUGGCGAAUUGUCUGGAAUCAACACAGGAAUUAGUCGAAGCAUCAGAUUUUGAAACGAAGUUGCAUGUUGCUUUUGCAACUAAUUCUGUUUGACAAUCAGAAAAGAUUUGCUGGAUCAUGUAUCAUUCAAGUCUUUUCAUAUUGAAAUCUCCAACAUGGCUGCAUAUCUUCUUUGGGGGAAAUGUGAAACUUGGUUUUUUCAGUCUCACUUCCCUUGUAUCAGAAUACUUGAAAUUCAAGUGGUAGUGUCAUUUAGUAGAUAUUAUCUUCGGCUUAUUUUGUGAUGACAGCUUAUGCAGGGGUAUGAAAAUUUUGUUUGGCCUCUCUUGGGUAAUCAGAAUAUUUUAAGACAAUUGCUAUAUUGUACGGUUCAUGCUAUAUCUAACUUGUUUGAUAUGAAAUGAAGAAGCAUAUAGGUCUUAGUAAGAUAAGGGGCUUAAGAAUGAACACUGGGAAAACUUGAGCUUACCUGUUGCUGAUUUGAGUUACACUUCAUUUCUG
rnacentral:misc_RNA from 1 species